CCCUUAGAUGUUCUGGGCCGCACGCGCGCUACACUGACGCAUUCAACGAGUCUAAAACCUGCUCUGAUAGGGGUGGGUAAUCUUUUGAAUGUGCAUCGUGAUUGGGAUAGAUGAUUGCAAUUUUUCAUCUUCAACGAGGAAUGCCUAGUAAACGCAAGUCAUCAGCUUGCAUUGAUUACGUCCCUGCCCUUUGUACACACCGCCCGUCGCUCCUACCGAUUGAAUGAUCCGAUGAAUAUCAUGGAUUGAGGAUGCAAGUAGGUUAGCCUAUCUUCAUCUUCGAGAAGUGAAGUAAAUCUUAUCAUUUAGAGGAAGGAGAAGUCGUAACA
rnacentral:rRNA from 1 species